AAGGUAAUAGUUUAAUUAAAACAAUAAGUUGCAAACUUAUAAUUGACUAACGUCUUACCUAU
rnacentral:tRNA from 1 species